UACACUCCUGCGGGAGGCAGCAGUGGGGAAUAUUGGACAAUGGGCGCAAGCCUGAUCCAGCCAUGCCGCGUGAGUGAUGAAGGCCCUAGGGUUGUAAAGCUCUUUCACCGGUGAAGAUAAUGACGGUAACCGGAGAAGAAGCCCCGGCUAACUUCGUGCCAGCAGCCGCGGUAAUACGAAGGGGGCUAGCGUUGUUCGGAUUUACUGGGCGUAAAGCGCACGUAGGCGGACUAUUAAGUCAGGGGUGAAAUCCCGGGGCUCAACCCCGGAACUGCCUUUGAUACUGGUAGUCUUGAGUUCGAGAGAGGUGAGUGGAAUUCCGAGUGUGGAGGUGAAAUUCGUAGAUAUUCGGAGGAACACCAGUGGCGAAGGCGGCUCACUGGCUCGAUACUGACGCUGAGGUGCGAAAGCGUGGGGAGCAAACAGGAUUAGAAACCCCAGUAGUCCCAUGAU
rnacentral:rRNA from 1 species